UACUAAAUAAAUGUUCCCGUUUUAUUCUACCUAGACCUUAAGCCAUCAACCCUUUUUAUUACAAAGAAUUUAUGGUUGAACCUUCCGAGUCAAGAACAAAAUUGGUAACAGAUGCGGUGGCAGAGGAGCGACAUAUUAUCAAAAACGCUUGCGUUUUAUACACGAAUCUGGGCUGUCUAUGCUCUAUGGCGUUAUUACAGGCUUAAUUAUCAAGCUCUUUAGCGCUAACAAUAAGGAGUUACAGUCCACUGCACUUUUUGACCCCUCAAUAUUUUUUUAUAUGCUCUUACCACCUAUCAUUUUUGCAGCUGGUUACAAAAUUCAAAAG